CGCUGAGGGGAGGGCGAUGGCGCCGGGGCUGUUUGAGCGCCCUCGGGCACCGCUUCGCCGGAGAGCGCUGGGACCCCACACUGCCGUGGGAGGGACUGAAUUCCAUGGCCCCAUCCAGCAGCGUUUUCUGACGUUACUCAGCUUUUAGGCAUUCAGCAAAACACAAGGAUUUUGCAGCAGAAAAGUGCAAACCUGGAAGUGCUGAUGAGCAGGAGCAAGUCCGAUGCUCACCGUGACCUUCCUUGCUUAAUAAAACAUUAAUUUUUUUGUUUAAUAUAAA